UGUGUGUCACCAUCAUCUUUGCAAGGCU
rnacentral:piRNA from 1 species